rnacentral:rRNA from 1 species
UACGGAGGGGGCUAGCGUUGUUCGGAAUUACUGGGCGUAAAGCGCACGUAGGCGGCUUUGUAAGUUAGAGGUGAAAGCCCGGGGCUCAACCCCGGAAUUGCCUUUAAGACUGCAUCGCUAGAAUUGUGGAGAGGUAAGUGGAAUUCCGAGUGUAGAGGUGAAAUUCGUAGAUAUUCGGAAGAACACCAGUGGCGGAAGGCGA